rnacentral:rRNA from 1 species
GAAUAUUGGACAAUGGGCGAAAGCCUGAUCCAGCAAUGCCGCGUGAGUGAUGAAGGCCUUAGGGUUGUAAAGCUCUUUUACCCGGGAUGAUAAUGACAGUACCGGGAGAAUAAGCCCCGGCUAACUCCGUGCCAGCAGCCGCGGUAAUACGGAGGGGGCUAGCGUUGUUCGGAAUUACUGGGCGUAAAGCGCACGUAGGCGGCGAUUUAAGUCAGAGGUGAAAGCCCGGGGCUCAACCCCGGAAUAGCCUUUGAGACUGGAUUGCUUGAACAUCGGAGAGGUGAGUGGAAUUCCGAGUGUAGAGGUGAAAUUCGUAGAUAUUCGGAAGAACACCAGUGGCGAAGGCGGCUCACUGGACGAUUGUUGACGCUGAGGUGCGAAAGCGUGGGGAGCAAACAGG